AGAAGAGCAAGCACUGAAAAGAGCAGUUUAACUACCUCGGACAGUAAGCAACAAGCCUGCAGUCCCCAGAUAAUCGGCCCAGAGGGAGCUGAAAGGAUGGAGUUGGAAAGGGGAACCACAGAGCCCGGGAAGAAGGAGCGACCAGGAUGGAGCGCAAACGAGUGACAGGCAAGGAGCCCAAAGGGACCACACCAAUGCAACAGAGACUGGAGCCAGGAGGCCGGCCCCGCAUCGCCCGCUCCGCUGUGUCACCCGCUCCGGGACAGCGACGGCUCAGCUCCCGAUUCUCCCGGACGCAGGGGGUCGCUGGCGGCCGCAGGGGGCGGCGGCGUCGGGGACCGGCGCGGGCCGGGGCAGGUGGUACGUGGGUUCGGGCAGGACGGUCCUCUUGCAGGCGUGGUCGGCCGGGGUCGCCUUGCUCUUCUCCAUGGCCAUCAGGUAACUGACAUCGGCCACCACGGCCUCCAGGUCCACCAUGUUGGCGAGCUUUGGCAGCGGCGGUGGCGGUUACUCGGGACCCGGAUGGGACGCGCGCCCGCG
rnacentral:lncRNA from 1 species